rnacentral:rRNA from 1 species
CGCGUAGGCGGUGGGUUACGUCUGCCGUGAAAUCCCCGGGCUCAACCUGGGAAUGGCGGUGGAAACGGGCUGACUAGAGUAUGGGAGAGGGUGAUGGAAUUCCAGGUGUAGCGGUGAAAUGCGUAGAGAUCUGGAGGAACAUCAGUGGCGAAGGCGGUCACCUGGCCCAAUACUGACGCUGAGGCGCGAAAAGCGUGGGGAGCAAACA